GCUGUUAUGUGUUCAAUAAAGCAUCCCCCCCCUCAACAGAAGUGUUGUUUUGGUUAUUUAGGGGGCAUGAUGGGUGAUAGAGUCUGUGGAACAGUGUACUUUGAGCUUUAGCAUUUGGGCCUGUGAGUCUAUGUAUCUCAGUAAAGAUGUAGCAAGAAGUCAGAGUAUGCUAAAGACUAUUUGGCGUUAUUUGGUAAAUACUGAGUUGCUGCAAAUUGACAACUGAAU